rnacentral:lncRNA from 1 species
GUGCAACACAAUAUAUACUAUAAAUUGGUUUAAUCUUUAGUCGAUGUGGGACUUCACCAACAAUAUAUAUAUUGCUUAUCUUAUAAGUGUCUUACUUUUUAUUAUAUGUUAUUGAUAGGGUAUUAAAAUCUAGUUUUAUUCUCUAAAAAAGUAUAAUUACUUACUGGAAAUAUGCUUAAAUAAGAUAAUACUUGUUUAACAAAAAAUAUUAAUUCUU